GUGUCAGCAGCCGCGGUAAUACGAGUACCCCAAGCGUUAUCCGGAAUUAUUGGGCGUAAAGGGUGUGUAGGCGGUCGUGUUAGUCAUUCGUCAAAGCCUCCGGCUCAACCGGAGAAUUGCGAAUGAAACGGCACGACUAGAGAGUGCGAGAGGUUUGCGGAACUCAUAGUGUAGGGGUGAAAUCCGUUGAUAUUAUGGGGAACACCAAAAGCGAAGGCAGCAAACUGGCGCAUUUCUGACGCUGAAACACGAAAGCGUAGGUAGCGAAUGGGAUUAGAAACCCCAGUAGUCC
rnacentral:rRNA from 1 species